UAAGUUUCUUUGCUUUUUUUGCUCUUUUAAACAUACAUUUUUUCACGUGUAAAACACAUUUUUUUUACACAAUAAAAUUAUCCCCAUAAGAAGCAGUAGCUAAUAAAUUUUUAAAAGAAUUUGUAUCUCCAUCGCCGAUAUAAUAAGUGUACUUUACGCUUGCUCGGAUUGCCAUACUCUUGCUCGGAUCGUUGAAACAUUUUGAUAAUGCCAUCGAUCUUCAUUUUUCCUACACUGCCUUCAUGAUUAGCUGCACAGUCUUCCUUAUGAUCUUCACACUGUGCAUGAUAAUCGAUAUCGUCAAGCUUAUUUUUUGACACAUUGCAAGCUUUGCAAAUGCUAGAUUUUAUAACGAUAUCUACGGUUUUAUUGCUGUACUUUCUUAUCAAAGAAACAAUACCCAAAAGUGAUAAAAAAUCUUGUUUUGACCACGAACUGUCGUGUCGCCAGAAAUAAUAAGUUCAUUUUCACAUUCACCGGCUUCCGUAUUUAGCGCUAUAAAAACUUCAAAAAUAAAACGUGCUAUACUACUCUCGCUUCAAAAUUCAAAACAAAACUGACCUAACGUCGGCAUGUACAAAACCACACACAUAUAAUUAUAUACAUAACUAUACAAGUACAAAUUAAGAAAGGGACCCUAACACUAACAUUAGAGACCUUACAUUGAAUAACAAAACCAAAUAUACUUGACGCUGCAGCUUCUGCCGCAUUCUUAGAAAGAAACGCCGCUCUGAGCGUACGUGCUUGAUAAUGCUAUAAAGUAGGGAAAUAAUUGAAGGUGCUUUACAAAACUUUGGGAAUAUAUUCUCAAAUACAUAUACUUUCGAAAAAUGUAAUAAAAAAUCGAUUUAAUUUGUGAAACUAGAAUGAUAUGUUAAUUAUCCUUAAUAUGUUAAUUAUUUUUUUCCAAAUUACAUAUAUUCCAUCAACAUCUACACGUUUACAUAUUUACACACAUACACUCGUAAACUCUAUAGAGCCAAUAUUUUCUGCUAAAUAUUUUCACGAUUUAUAUAAACUAAUUAUAAAUACAUAUGAAUACACGUGGAGUAAAAAAUAGAUUAAAUUUAUAGUAAUAUAGUGUCAUAUUUGACAUAUAGUACAAAAAGGGUAAAUUUUUAAAAAUAAUUUUUCUUUCAAAAACGGGUAGUGCUUCAAAUAGAAAUAUUUAUUAUAAAAUUUUUCUGUAAAACAUUUUUCAAUAUUUAGUUUAUUAGAGUUUAGUUAUGAAAUAUUACACAAAAGUCGAAUAGCUCUCUUUUUAAAGGGUGGUUUUUAACUGUUUUUGGAUUGCUACUAAAAAUGUAUAAAUUUCUGUAUUUACUCUCUCCCCUCCUACAUUUAUGCCAAGUUUCAAAUUUAAAAUCCGAAUUUUCAAAUUUGCGAGGUUUUCUUGUUAGACAUUCUACUUUAAGUAUUUUCUAUAAGAAAAAAAUGUAAAUCUUGAUAAGAUAAGUAAUUCGUAUUCAUAAGAAAAUUUUGUGUAUUUAUUAUUCUGUAAGUUAACAAAUUUUUGUUCGUAUUUAUCACAUUAUUCAUUUUUUUUCAUCUUUUCUUCCUGUGAAACAAUUUGUUAGGCUGAUUUUUUUUAAGAAGGCUGUGUACUCUUAUGUAUCACUAAUGUGAGAUAUUAAUAAUAAUACAUAUGCAAUAAUGUAUAAUCUGCGAUACAAAAUUAAAAAGUAAAUAUUGAAUUUCUUUGCAAGACAAUUUCGAUCUUAGAAUGUAUAAAAAUGUUACUAAAAAUAUUUUGCUACAGAAAAUUGUACAAAUCAGCCUUGCAAUUGUUAUUUCUUUUACAAUUUAUGUAUUCAUCACAUAUGUAAUAAUAAUUAGUGGUUUAUAAACUUUUAUUAUAAAUAUUUAUAAAUAUAUCUUUUUACAUAAUUGAUAAAAAGGUUUUUUACUACUUAAUGUAUCGUAAUCUUAGCGUAGAUGUGAUUUCAUCUUUACGAUAAUUAACGUAGUGAUUUUAAUGUCGUAGUAUUCUUCUAAUAUGCUAGUCAAACCGAUAUAUAAAGAUCCAAAAGACCUUUAUUAUUAAUUAAUUACCAUUAUUAUUUACUUGUCGUUAAUGAUUAUUACUAUUGUAACAUGUAAAUCUAUAUCCAAUAAAUACUUUUCUAUUAUUCGAAAUUCAUUUAUUUAGAUCACCAAUGAUCAUCAUUACUUUUAUUUUUAUGAAUUUAUUAAAUUUGUGGAUUAGAUAUUUUUAAGUAAGGAUUGUUUUUUAGUGUAUUUUUUUUUUAUUUAACAAGAGGACAUUCAACCUCUUUCCAAUAUCAUAGAUUUUGCUAGAUUUUGAAUAUCCUAUAGUACGUAAUAUGAAGCGUCGGUAAUUCUGCGACAGUUUGUGUACGUUACCAUAUACAUACAUCGAGAUGGCACAAGUAUAAUAACGAGCGGAAGCGUGCGUAAGGGAUAGAGCGGGCCGAUUGGUAGACGUUUAUUCGCAAAUUUAAUUUUGUGAAGGUUAUUCCAGUUUCCGCCUUUUGUCGCGAAAGUUCUUUUACUUCUUUUUGCGUUGUCUGCCGGAAGACCUUUUGGUGCGUCUUUUUGCUAGGCGUAUGAGACAUUCACGUUGAAAGACUCUAACCUUGCUACCGCAUGUCCGCAGGCACGUGCUUUCGCCAAGCCUCGAAGAAAGCGUGGUUAUGGUAAUCGGCUAGGAUAAACACAAGGAUAUUGUCAAAAAGAACCACACUUUAUUAUUAGAAGACCGACGGUUGUAUAUUUAGUCUCGAACAACAUGGAACUAAUUAACGCGGGAAAGACUUCCCUAGAGAUCCCCGAGAAAACAGGGUUGCCAAUAGACGAAAAGUUAUUAGAUUGACAGAUAGCAGCUCCUAAUAGAGUAUUAGUACAGUGUCACAGUAGGACAGUUGACACAUAUAUAUUUCAAUAUUGCCCCUUAAACUGAAUUACGUCUAUUACUAUGUCGAUAUACAAAGACAAAAAAUAUUACUUGCAAAAUUAUAUUUUAGUACACAUAUCUUUAAAUUUGACAGAGUUUAAGGGUUUUGUGAACAUGUCACCCAUUUGUUCUUCUGAACGAAUUCAACAUCGAUUUCACCUCUUCGAUAUAGCUCACGAACAAAAUAAUAACGAAUUUCUAUAUGUUUAGAUUGUUUAUGGAAUUCGUGGUUUUUUGUCAAUUUAAUUGCACUUGCGUUAUCAAUAAACAGUACAGGAAUAUCACUGUUUUCUUUAAUUUCAAAUAUCAGUCUUUUAAGCCAUACGAGUUCCUUUGAUCCUUUGCUAGCGGCAACAAACUCUGCUUCCGUAGUGGAGAAUGCAACUGAUUUUUGUAGUUGAGAAGUCCUAAGAUUUUAACUGCAAUUCUUGGGACGCCAUAGAGCACUUUUGAAAGUUAUUAAGCCAUAGGGUAAGUUAGGGUAUGAGAGCCAUACGAAAAAGAAUGGCUAUAAUUUCUCCAAUAAUUGCUAAAUAAUGUAUUCUUGUAAUUAUUUUCAAAGAUAAUCGAUAUUUACUGUAGUUUAUACGCGUAUACUUUUCUAAAUAAAAAAUAACAUUGCGGAUAUUAUAUCACGCUUUUACUUUCGACUACGUGCAAAGUUUUUCAUGUGUUCAUUAAAAAUUGACACAACAUUGAAUAAAUUACAGUUGAGCUGUCACAAUUAACGUUAGACACAUAGCGAAGGUAGGUAUAAUGUGAUUGUAAUGUGUGAUUAUAUCUUCUAUUUCUUUUUCCAAUUUUUAAUAAAUAAUAUAAUUAUUUUUCUCUCACAGUUCGGGUAAGAUGGCCCACUUUCUUCGGGAUAAGUUGGCCAACGUAAGAUGGACGCACAUUAGUGUCGGUGUACUAGAGAUGGAAAACUAGAUCUUUAGGAAUUUCCAAAUGACGUAUAAGACAACACUCUAACUGACGCUAAACUAUGUUAAAGGACUGUCUAGAUAGAGCUCCACUUCUGCAAGAAAUAGAAAAUACAUACAUUCAAAGUAAGGAUUCAAGAAUUUUGCAAAAGACGACAAUAAUUAAUACUGCAUAACAAUAAUAAUAACGCAUAUGUAUAUAUUUUAUUAAAAAGAUAAGAAUUAAGUUGCGCACCUAACAUUUUAAAUUUGAUAUAUACUUUUAGAUAUUUUUUUAGUAUUGACAAUGAGUUAAAUAGAUGCUAAACUUUGUGUAGAAAAAGUUGCUUUUAAUGAUUCAUUUUUUAAUAAUAUUAAGAGAUAAUUUGAUUUAUUAUUUUAUAUUGUGUUUAUCAAAAUAAAUUAAUAAUGCACUGCGUAUUUUUACAGAAAAGAGUUUAACUGCACAUUUCAAUCUUUUAAUUUCAGAAUAAUAUAGAUAUAAUACAGAUAUAAAAAUUUAUUAACAGUGCACUGAUUCAAUACACUAGACAUAUUUCUUUUAUCAAUUUUACUAUAGUACUGAACUAGUACUGAACUAUUCUACCAGUAUUAAACUACUAUUUUAUGGUACUGAAUUACUAUUCAACAACAAUACAAAGAUAUGAAUAUAAUAAAAUUAAAUUUCUGUGAAAUCAAUAAAAACAUGUGUAAAAUGAAAUAUUUGAUAAACAUUUUGUUAUUGACCUUGAAAUUGUUACAGACUUUGUAAAAAUGACAAAUAAAGAGAACUUUCCAAAACGAAGUAAAUGGUCGCAGGAUCAAUUAACCGCAGCUCUGGAAGCCAUUCAAAAUAACAUUUCUGUACGUCGAGCCAGCAUUGAAUAUGGUAUUCCCAGAAAAACUUUUGAAAGAAGAUUUAAAUCUGGAAAUGCAAUAAAAGGUGGAAUGGGACCUACCUGUUUGUUUGGAAUGCAGAAUGAGAAAAAAAUAGUAAACCACAUCAAAACAAUGCUAAAGCGUGGUUUUCCGCUUACUUGAGAUGAUCUUCGUACACUGGCUUAUAAUUUUGCCAAUCAGCUUAAAGUAAAACAUAAAUUUAAUAAUGAUAUUCAAAAAGCUGGAUAUGACUGGCUUUAUUUAUUUUUAUUUAGACAUCCUAAUAUUUCUGUACGCAAAUCAAAAAGUUUAUCUCUUAGUAGAAGCCUUAUGAAAUGUUGGAUAGGAUCGGGUGGUUGUAUAGGUAUCUUAUAAAGUGGAGAUAAAGCAAAGAAGGACGUAACGCAACACGACUCCCGAAGGCACAGGCUCGAGGGAAAGACAAGUGCCUUAGCGGCGAACGCACUCUUUAUUGCUAGAAAUGUGGGUUAGUGUGCCGGUGGGCUCGCUAUAACCCCGAUUUCUGAGCUGUGCGUCAGUCGGUUCUAAUUUAGAGUCAGCAAAUUUAAUUGUUAUAACUCGGGAUCAAACCCGAUGCAGUCUUUAGUUGAGGAUGAAGGUAGAUCGAUUUAUAAAUAAAUAAAGAAUUUUAAAUUUAAAUACAUAUUUAUUCUAACACACAUUUUUUUAUUAGGAAAGGUAAUACAAAUAAAGAGCUUAAGUUUGUGAUACCGAAAAAAUAUAUAUAUAUAUUUAUGUUUACUUAAUGUUUUAACGGAAUUUAGAUCAUCUUAGUAUUGUACAUUAUUAUGCCAUAAUUUGGAUAUCUUAGUAUUAUCAUUAUCAACAUCAAUACAUCAUUAUGCCGUAAUUUGGAAUAUAUACAUAUAGGAAUUAUUAAUGCGUAAAAAUUUGGUACAUUAGUAGGCGGUUAGAGAGAGAAGGGGUUAAAAUUUUUAUAUUAUUUCUUGUAUAGUUGUCCUGGAAGGGGGGAAGAAAUUGUAAAAGAAAUCGAUAGGGACAGCGAAGGGGUCAUGGUAGUAAGGGGUGAAAACCGGAAUGAGAUCUGUAGUGCGCAUGUGAUAUGAAAUAAAACAUUUGGAUCAAAUCCUUCUGGAAUAGAGCGAAAUUGCGGUAAUGGUGUAGUGAUGGAUCUCUUUUAAUCGGGAACUGUUCUAGUAAUUCUAUUAAAGAAGUUUGACUACUGUUAUAAUGAUAAAACCGUGGGCGUGGAGGAGAAGGAAGAUGACGAGGGAGAAGGAAGGGAGAAGGAAGUUCAGCUGUAAAUUCUAUAUCAGAGUCUGAAGAAGGUGAGGAUGGGGAUGGUAUUUCUAUUAUCUCGGGAGAGCUAAUGGGGGAAUAUGAAGGGGAAGGAUAGGGACCGAGACAGGAAUCUUCGGAUGUUCGGGAGGAAGGGCGAGGGCCGUGAGUAACGUCCUCGGAGGUGAGUGAGGGAAAGAGUUGAGAUGGUGAUAGCAGGGGUUCAACCGAGUGAUGGGUUUCCGACUCUCGUUGACCCUGACGUAAGGGCUCGCCUCGGAGGAUUCGUGCCUCCCUGCGCUGACGCCGACGUUCCCUUCUUAUAGACCAGCGAUUUCGUCUGGGUCGGGAGUAAAUAUGGUUGUUCACUGAAGUUACAAUCCGAUUUAGAAAAGGGGGGAAGUAAAUGAAAACGUUAAUAAGACUGGCAUUUACUACUUGGCGUGACUGAUGAGAAGGGGUUAAACUCGGAGUUCUCUCUUUGCCAGAGCGGUCCCCGUUAGAUUUAUUGAGCCUGAAACUGGCUGAACAGGUCAGAGUCAAAGACGGUGCGGCCCGAGGAUGGUGAAGCUCGGGGUAAGAAGUUGCACUCAAAUCGUAAGUCUCGAAAGUUCCGCUAACCUAACACUAAGUUCCGAGUUCGGUACUAACACUCACUCGAGUUGCGAAGGAACAUAAAGUUCUAAAAACGAAGCGGCGAUAAAGCUAGCGACCACGAUAGCGACUGCAACAGCGACUGACUCCGACUUUUAGAGUAUCGAUUUUUAUAGUAAUUCUGAAAAGUAAAAUUUUGGGUGUGGGUGUUUCGGGGAUGUUAAUUGGCGGGAUUGCUUUCGGGAAUGCGUGGGAAUUAAUUUUUAGAGUUCUCAUUGGAUAAGUGGUUGCUUGGUUUCGGGGUGGUGUUUGUUAAACGCUCUGACUAUUGGUCUGUUUUUCUUGUCUCCGCCUAAAAUUUUCGAAUCUAGUAGGGGAGAGGGAAGGUUCGAAUCUUAUUGUUACGUUCGACAAAAUUUUUCCCUUUUUGUCUCACUUUCUCGCGUCGCGCUUUCGCAUGCUCCGUCGCAGCGCUUGUCUCACCGAGCGCUCCCUUCCACACGAACUCGCACGCACGAGGUACCGACGUGUACGCCCUAUGCGUACAAUCCUUAUUAACUGUAUACUAUUGCGUACGUAAUUAUCACUCCUUUUGUCAAAGCUCAAAUUCAUCGAAUCAUGCCGCGUUCAGUUAACAACUUUGUUAAAAAAAUAAUAUUCGUUCAUCACCUUUUUUUUGGUAUUAACGACGUCAGGGUGCAAUCGCCACCCUCAAUCUCCCUCGUUAAUUAUUAUGGAUUACGAUCCCUCGCAAUCACGCUAUCGCUCUCUCACUAUUAACAACUUGAAAUAAUGCGAAUAUUUUUCAACCACGCGGUCCGCGCAUGACAGCCCUCGCGCUGCCGAAGAGUCGGUCCAGUCGCGGGGCGCGUGUUACCUAAGUGGGAUAGCGAUAGCUUGAGCAUUACUCUAACCGAGAGGUGUAAGUGAGAUAACAAGAGUAAAGCAAUUACGAAAAGUAUGCGGAUUAAUUACUCCGCUCACAGAGGUGAUAAGAGGAAGGCGAAAGAAGCAUUUGAACGCUAACCCCCCUGGCUACCUCUUGACCAAAAUUUAUAAUGAUCCGAAUAAAAAUUAGAAAUUAUAGAAUUUCAAAAAUAAUAGUUAUUUGUCGCGGAAAAUUCCAGGAAUUUGAGCUUCCCCACGCCCGCGUACCCCUAGGACCUCCUAGUUUUGGGGUAUAUAAGGAGCGCAAGAGCCGCGGAAAGCAGCAUUUUUCGCUCUUACAGUCCGUCGUGCUGCUCGUAGCACUUCUGCUCUAGCGAACUAUAGUAUUCUGUCUAAGCGACUCGUCUUGCCACCGUGCGCGAUAAUUCUCCAGUGCGAUCAGAACGUACCGCCCUGCGUACACGCGUACUUGCUAUCUUAAGGACGCACGGAAAUUCUAAUUGUAAGUAGUAUUUCUAUCUUCGCUAACUAUCGCCGUCGUAUCAAACUUAGCACUUUAAUAAUUUCAUUCUAUUUGAUAGUUAAUCUCGCCAAGUAAAUAAAACUGCAAUUGUGACUUAAAAUCUUGUUCCCCCUUUUUUUUAUCUUUUUUUUUUUUCUUCUAUAAUAAAUUCUCGAAAAUAUACUUUCUCUUUUUUUUUAUUAUUAUUUCCUUUUUUAUACUCCUCGUGUUCGGUGCGCGAGUGCUAGUCUAAGUUAGUAAUAAGAACAUUCCUCCCCAGUGCUUCAAGUAUUCCAGAGCAAAUAGAGGCGACUUCAUUGACUCCUCAUCCUGGAGCCGCGCGCUUCCACUCAGGCGCUCGUCUGUUCCAUGAACUUCGGGCCAGGGGCGCUUAUUAAGGCGCUUAAGCCAGAGGGUGUCCAGUGGGCAACGGGCCGCCUAUUAAGGCGCUUUAUUCCCACUGCAAUCAAUUCCAUUGCUUACUGCGCACCACAGAGCAGCCCAUUAAGGGCGCUCUCAGUCGCACCUACCAAUCAGUCUCCGCGUGAGCUAUGUUGCGUCUCACUAAGGCGCUCCGUCUCACGUCUUUCAUUCCCGUCGCCAUUGCAUUGCUCAUCCUCCCGCUCGCGCUCGUUCGCACUUCCCGGAUGUGACCCACAAAGGAACAGGGGUAACUUCACUCACGUUCAUCAACCCCCCCCCCCAUCUCUUCCACUAGCACCAUUAGAAUUCGCGUGAAAUUUACUCAGGUGACAGGCAGACAUCACAAUUAGAAAUAUAUUAAAUAAUAAAUAAAAGGGGAAGGGAAAUUCCAUCCCUCACUCUCUCUCUCUCCACCCAUCUUAUAAAUGAUUGAGCAGACGCGAAUUUACCUACAAUUUUUCAACAUAACCAACCCAUUGCUAUCGUGAUAGUAACUCCUUAGAAGAAGAGUUGAGCCGAUCUCUCUCAAAUCCAAAACCUCAUGGGCAGCCUACUAAGGCGCUUACCCCCGCAAUUUCCAUUCCAACCUGCAGGCAACGGACAAGCCUUCUAAGGCGCUUACCCCCGCAAUUUCCAUUCCAACCUGCAGGCAACGGACUAGCCUACUAAGGCGCUUACCCCCGCAAUUUCCAUUCCAACCUGCAGGCAACGGGCUAGCCUACUUAAGGCGCUUACCCCCGCAAAUUCCAUUCCAACUUGCAGGUAACGGGCUAGCCUACUAAGACGCUUUUUCUUUUGCAGAUUCUAUUGUACUUGACCCCCGCUGGCAUCCCCCAACUUUAGUUCUAAUGGUAUCCCAUCCGUAAUAAUUUGCAAUCGUUUUGUGAUAACCUCACCUCCCUUUAUAAUUGUAUAGCGUUCGGGAAACCCUGCCUGCCACUCGCUAAAAUAUCAUUAUUAUGGCUAUCGUACUAAUUCACCCUUCCACCCCCAUCACAGCAUCCCAUGACUCACUCACGGCGAGGGGGCCGCAAAAAGCAAUUGAAACGCCUCAAAUGGCGAUUGAUUGAAUCUGGGACGUUCGAUCCCUGAACUUUUGAGCGACAACCGUCGCCCAAGUCGUCGCCCGCCAGGCACGAGUCUCCUGGCCCGUUCGAUUUAAGGCCUCCCUCGAGGCCGCCGCCAGCACCGAAGCGCCCCGCGCCUGCCCGGCUUGCUCCAGCAAACACCACGCGACAUCUUCCUCCGCUACCUGACGGGGACGUCGCACCUUCUCGAGCCCCGACUCGGCCCGUCAAAGUGGACCGACAAGUCCGACUCCCACCGCGCCGAGGUCCUCGAGUCCUAGCGGACGAGAUAGUUGUCGGGGAGCUCACGAAAUUAGAGCUCUUCGCAAGCGCAACUCCGCAAUCUGCAGCCGUUUAUCACAGGCUAGUCAACACAUCACCGGUAACAGAACAAAACGGUAUCCCUUAUCCGGUCCCGCACGAGAGUCGACCGCCUUACCAAAUCUUACUAAAUUCCGCGUGGCUGCCAAGUGAUGGCCUUACAAAACCCGCCAUCUUGGUCCGCCGAAGCCGAUAGCCCUGGGCUGGUCCUCGCCGAUGCGCCUUAUCAUACGGCUUACCGAACAGUGAGGAGCCCCUGUCCCGCACCGGCCGGCUCGAGCCGUCGCGCAUGCGCGGACGCUCUUCAAUUCCCAAUAGGUGGAUCCGCGUGACUCGCGUGAUCCUCGAUCCAGCGCCGCGCUGCUUCAUCUCUCGCAAGGUCCGUGAUGAACACGUGCUCCAAAAGUGCGAUCCCUUUUUCCGCCGUUUCGGUAGGUCCGGCUGGCCAGGCCGCGACCAAUCCGAUCUUGGUAGCUGGCGGUUUACAUGGCUGUGAUCGCUCUUCCGGUCCGCAGCCCGGUGUCGCGUGCCCACGGCGUGAUCCUUGCUGGGAGCCGUCGUGUCUCCGUGCUGUCAUUCGGCGCGGUCGGUACCCUUGGCUCAGGGACGGCAACGCGCUGCGGGGCCCGACGCACGGCUCGGCGGGGAAACUCCUUGAGGGGCGCUCUUUCUACUGUCGAUUGUCCCCAGCAGAAUUCCCACGACGACUGCUCCUCCGUCGCUCUUGGCACACUCUUUAGAUGAGCCUACACUCGACGCCUUAACUUUAAAUGAUUAUCAACUACAAUCGGAAAACGGUAUCGCAGACUAAAAAAAUCAAAAAAAAAAUAAAAGAACAGAACCAUAUCCCCUCGGCUCAGCAAGGAGUCGCCCCCGAUCGACCCCUCGGUCGGACUUAUGCCCUUGUGACGCGCGCGCCGGACGCGCCACGACACAAUAUAUAUAUAUGAAGAUGGUUAUCCUUAUUAUCGUUGACGAAAUACUGGUAAUGUAUUCUGGAAAUGGAUUGCAAGAAGCGGGCGAUAGUUACACGCCCCGCGACUUAGAAUUAUGAAUAGAGCAGUAAAAAUUUAUCUGAUGACCACGAAAUCGAACACGAUAAUUAAAUAAUCGCUAAAUUAAAUGACAGGCAUCAGAUGAUUUAUUGCUCUCCUUUCCGCGCUCUUCACCCUCGAACGUCCUCGGUUACGAGUAUAUAAACCGCGAUUUUCGAGCGAAAAUUGAGAUUUUGCCUCCUCCUCUCGCGUCGAAAGGCUGUAAGAGUCGCUCUAUAAACUUUCCGGACUUAGAAUAAUUUCUUAAUUUUGCGUACGGCCUUAUAAUAUUUUCAUAAUUUCGCGUACGGACUUAUAAUAUUUUCGAAUUUACACGUUCGAACUUAGAAUAUUUUGCAGUAUUCAGAGAGACUCGAGAUGGCAACUUCUCCCUCAGUUUACUAAUCGCUAUCUUUUUUUCAUAGAACAAAAGUGCGACACUAGCGAGCGUGCGUGCGCGUGUGAUUUAUCGAGUAGAACGAAUACAAAUUUGUGAAGAUGCGAGUUCUCUCCAUUCAUUUUUUUUCUUUUCUUCUUAAAGUUAUUAAAAACCAGUGAUACUAAAUUCAAGGUUCUCUUUUCUUUUUACUUCUUUUCCCUUUUCUUUUCUUUGCGUCACGGAAGUGCGUUCGCGAGUUAAUCGGUGAUGCUUCCCCCUUUCUUUUGUGUCAUUCCUUCAGAGAGUGGUGAACCACGGCUCAGCGCUGCAGUUCCUUAGGGAGCGUAGCGGUCCCCGUCAUUCGCUGAGAGAGCGCGUUUCAGCGUUCGCUCGCGGCACGCGGGAGCAUCGUGCGCCUCUCUCUCUCUCUCUCUCUCUCUCUCUCUCUCUCUCUCUCUGUCGCAAUCUCCAAUCCUUUCAAGAACGACUAGCCAACGGUGCGGGAAGGUGCGCGCUGAAAAGCGUACAUCCUUCCCCGUCAACCGCCCCUACGAAGUCGCAAGACUUUAGCAUAGGCGUGGGUUACCGGCGCGCUAUAUGCGUUCCGACAUUUCUGACAGCACCGAAGACGGUGCCGCUACUUAACCAGGCGCCUCCACCCAGAUCUAUGGUGGAGGUAUACGUCUCUCGAUUCCUUUCUAUCCACGCUUCCGGGCAAUCCAGCGUCCAUUGUACAUCAAUAGUCAUCGCGAUUAUUUAAAGUAUUAAAUUCCCACCUUCCGAAAAACUAAUUAUUACAUUAUAAUUUAAAAUACGAGAAUUGAGGACAUGGCAUUCUUCCCUGCAGAUGGGAAGGUCACGCCGGCGGCACCCGCACCGGCUAAAGGAACACGUCGACCUCUUAAUCAAAGGCGGGGAGACUAAUCGGCUGCUCUCCCGCGGCCUUUCGGCAGGUUCGUCGCGUGAGUCGCCCACGCCCCCGAACGCAUCUGAGGCCAGCGAACCGGUUUCGCGCGGCAGCAGCCCCAAGUCACCGUCGGAGGAACCGUUCGACUUCUCCGGGCCGGUUAUAGUGCGUCUGGAGGCACUCGCUUCUGGCAUUCGCCUCCCUAGCAAAAUAACAUUAAUAGGGCCAAAAUAAUAAAAAUAAAAUCGAAUUUAAAAAUAAAUUCUUCUUAGCUCUUUCGAUUAUCAUUUCCUUUCCCGCUGCGUACAUUAUCUCUCUCUGUUUCCGCUCGGCAGAGUAGAGUGACUUAUAAAAUUUCGAACAAUAAUAAAAACUCGCGAUCCUGACCCCGCCGGACGUAACAAUAUUGUCCUCUAGUUAUUCGUCUAUUACUGUUUAAUUUUUUUUAAUGACAAUGGCAUCCUCGAGUACCAUAUGGAUACAAUGAAUAUAUCCAUGGUUCAACAUUUGGAUCCAUACUAACGCUUUGUAAAGUUUUAGUAUUUUUAUUGCGUAUUGUAACAUAUGAUUCUGGGAUUUCUCAUCUGCAGUUGUAGAAAAAACGGCAGCAACUUCAUUUAUUCUUUGGAUAUUAUCGACGUCGAUCCAUUUCAGGUUUUAAAGUAAAUACUAAUUGUAGUUCUGGUAUCGACUCAUUAGAUAGUAAUUGUUGUUGAUUUUCUAAUUCUUCACUCACCAUUUGAUAUGAUUUAGCAAAAAUGUUACAUUCUCUCAUUAUAUGCUCAAGAUUUUGUAAGAUUUCGAAAUCUAAAUUCGAAUUUUCAUUAAAACGGUGAUUUAUAGUUUCAUUUGGAUCGACAAUAAAAAGUUGCCCAUAAGUUGGACUUUCAUUUUGUGCAGCGUAUAAUGCUGUAUUAAUUUGAUAAUAUAUUUGUCUCUGUAUCUUAAAAGUACGGACCAGGUCGGUUAUUUUGAAAUUUAAUCAAAUUAGCAUUAAAUGAUGCAAAUGGAAAUGAAGAAUUAUAACUACGAAUAUGUUGAAAGAAGUUAUUAAAUUUUGCAUGAUGUCCAUCGAA